rnacentral:rRNA from 1 species
AUUGAACGCUGGCGGCAGGCCUAACACAUGCAAGUCGAACGAGUGGCGGACGGGUGAGUAAUGUCUGGGAAACUGCCUGAUGGAGGGGGAUAACUACUGGAAACGGUAGCUAAUACCGAAUAGCAUCAGAUGUGGACAGCUGGGAUUAGCUUGUUGGUGGGGUAAGGGCUCACCAAGGCGACGAUCACUAGCUGGUCUGAGAGGAUGACCAGCCACACUGGAACUGUGACACGGGCCAUACUCCUACGGGAGGCAGCAGUGGGUAAUAUUGCACAAUGGGCGCAAGCCGGAUGCGGCCAUGCCGCGUGUAUGAAGAAGGCCUUCGGGUUGUAAAGUACUUUCAGCGGGGAGGCGUUACCCGCAGAAGAAGCACCGGCUAACUCCGUGCCAGCCGCCGCGGUAAUAC